GAUGAACGCUGGCGGCGUGCCUAAUACAUGCAAGUCGAGCGAACGGACGAGAAGCUUGCUUCUCUGAUGUUAGCGGCGGACGGGUGAGUAACACGUGGAUAACCUACCUAUAAGACUGGGAUAACUUCGGGAAACCGGAGCUAAUACCGGAUAAUAUUUUGAACCGCAUGGUUCAAAAGUGAAAGACGGUCUUGCUGUCACUUAUAGAUGGAUCCGCGCUGCAUUAGCUAGUUGGUAAGGUAACGGCUUACCAAGGCAACGAUGCAUAGCCGACCUGAGAGGGUGAUCGGCCACACUGGAACUGAGACACGGUCCAGACUCCUACGGGAGGCAGCAGUAGGGAAUCUUCCCAAUGGGCGGAAGCCUGACGGAGCAACGCCGCGUGAGUGAUGAAGGUCUUCGGAUCGUAAAACUCUGUUAUUAGGGAAGAACAUAUGUGUAAGUAACUGUGCACAUCUUGACGGUACCUAAUCAGAAAGCCACGGCUAAUUACGUG
rnacentral:rRNA from 1 species